UAACGAGAGGAGCGCAUGCGUGAAAUGGAAUUGCUCCUGGAACUUGGAGUGAGCGGUCUGGGGGAAGAUAGAGGCCUUUCUCGGGCCGUGUGUGAGCCUGCUGAGGGAGACAGAGUGUGGAAAAUCUUCUCUGCGUUAAUCUUAUGGUUAUCAACCCCAUAAACACGGUUGAAAAUUAAUUGUUUGGCGUUUGUUCACAUUGUCCAGUGAAUCUUAGAAACGUGACAAUCCUAUAAAGGACCUGCAUUGGAAUCACUGGAUUAAAAGUUUCGAGUGAAACAUUUGAAAUAGCGUCCGUUGAUCUGCUGUUGAACAGUUGGUGGAUUGGGAGCUGGAUAUUGAACUAUGUAAGCAUUCGGGUUCCUUCGAGUAGCCGCAGUCGUAGAGCUGUACAGUUGUUUCUCCGUUUCCCGAUUUCACUCACUUGGUAUAGAAUUACGUGGAAAAAAAAGUGAACAGACAAGGAGUAGCUCAAAGUAAGAAUGGAAUCGGACCAGCGGCUCUGUUUGAAUUGCUGAAUUUGAUGGAAAAAACGUCCUAAUGUUUAGAACAGAAUGUUACAUUGAUCAGUUCGAUACUGUCAAAAUCGCCUAAUGUUGAUUUAGAAGAGAUACCUCUGUCUUCCUCCAGGAAAAUGCUUGACCGACCAAGGCAACGUAACAGUUCCUUGGCACAAAGCCGAGUGUUACCAGCUCCUUUGAACAAACAGCAGGUAAAUUCAUGAAAGACCAAGACAAUGUAAUAUUUGCUCGGUGCAAAGCCAAAUGUGACCAGCUUCUUCUGACAAACAACAGGUAUGCAACGACUGUCCGAGCAGUGAACUUCAUUUCCACAGUCAGAGUGGACUCUGACAGACUCACAUUGAGCUCAAUUUCCAGGGAGAUAUAAGCAAACCAAGAGUCAGACACCACCAAGGAAGUAGAAGUUUAUUAUUUCUCUUCCUCCAUUCACAAAGUAAACCACUCCUUUUCCAAUAAAUUUCAUCAGUCAUUGUCAUUGACGUUCACACCAUUUUUGAAGAGGAAUAGACUGAAUCCUCAUGUAAAAUAUACACACAGAAACUAACUCAAAUCUACAUUUAUUGAGGGCAUCUUUAAAGUUCCAACCAAAGUUUUAAAAAGAAAUCAUGCUGUUGUACGUAAUUUCAACAAUCUUACUUGAGGUAGAUGUUAAUUAGAAAUAUAGAAGGAUAUGUAAAGUAAAGCAAGAGUCACAACUGCAUUUAGUUUACCAAUCACUGAACAGGACAGAGUUACUCCAUUGGUAAAUCUUUAUCCCAUGCUUAGACACAACAAAGAAAUAAUGUGAAUUACAAACACAUUCUGUGCCAAAGUCUGACAAAUAGACCAAAAGAACUGCAGAUGUUGGAAAACAGAAACAAAAACAGAAAUUGCUGGAAAAACUCUGUGAGUCUGGCAGUAUAUCACAUACAGUGUGAUAGAGUUCAACAGCACAGAAAAUGGUCCUUUAACCCAUCAAAUCUGCAGAAGUCAGGUACAACCAGAGAAAUAUUCUGCCCCCAUUUAGAUAGCAUUUCAUUUCCAUAAAUGUAUCAUGCUGGCAGAGGAGCUGCCAUGCUUAACUUUAUCACAGCAUAAUUCUCCAUUUUCCCCCUUGUUGGAGGAAUAGAAUUUCUUUCUAUUUUCUCUGCAGCAGAAAGACUUGUUUUUAUACUUGUAUGCUCUUGUUUUCAAAUUUGCUUAAGCAUUCUGCAAUGAGCCCUGUAUACCUACUUCUUAACCCUGUUUAUGAAGUAUUAAAUUAAACUGGACCCUGUCUGUUGAAAGUCUAUCACAUAUGAGAGAGUUUGGAAAGACUAUAUACAGAAACCGGCAGCUCCAUUGAAUAUUA